rnacentral:tRNA from 1 species
GCCUUCGUGGUGUAAUAGUCAGCGCAUAGGACGCGUAACUUAGAGGUCCGGGGUUCGAUUCCCAGCGAGGGCC